CGAGAGUUUGUAACACCCGAAGUCGGUGGGGUAACCCUUUUGGGAGCUAGCCGCCUAAGGUGGGACAGAUGAUUGGGGUGAAGUCGUAACAAGGUAACCGAUAAAUUCCACGUGUAGCAGUGAAAUGCGUAGAUAUGUGGAGGAACACCAGUGGCGAAGGCGACUCUCUGGUCUGUAACUGACGCUGAGGCGCGAAAGCGUGGGGAGCAAACAGGAUUAGAUACCCUGGUAGUCCACGCCGUAAACGAUGAGUGCUAGGUGUUAGGGGUUUCGAUGCCCUUAGUGCCGAAGUUAACACAUUAAGCACUCCGCCUGGGGAGUACGACCGCAAGGUUGAAACUCAAAGGAAUUGACGGGGGCCCGCACAAGCAGUGGAGCAUGUGGUUUAAUUCGAAGCAACGCGAAGAACCUUACCAGGUCUUGACAUCCUUUGACCACCCUAGAGAUAGGGCUUUCCCCUUCGGGGGACAAAGUGACAGGUGGUGCAUGGUUGUCGUCAGCUCGUGUCGUGAGAUGUUGGGUUAAGUCCCGCAACGAGCGCAACCCUUGAUCUUAGUUGCCAGCAUUCAGUUGGGCACUCUAAGGUGACUGCCGGUGACAAACCGGAGGAAGGUGGGGACGACGUCAAAUCAUCAUGCCCCUUAUGACCUGGGCUACACACGUGCUACAAUGGAUGGUACAAAGAGCAGCAAAACCGCGAGGUUGAGCCAAUCUCAUAAAGCCAUUCUCAGUUUGGAUUGUAGGCUGCAACUCGCCUACAUGAAGCCGGAAUUGCUAGUAAUCGGGUAUUCCAGCAGCCGCGGUAAUACGUUCCCGGGCCUUGUACACACCGCCCGUCACACCACGAGAGUUUGUAACACCCGAAGUCGGUGGGGUAACCCUUUUGGGAGCUAGCCGCCUAAGUGAC
rnacentral:rRNA from 1 species